rnacentral:miRNA from 1 species
AACUGCUCUCCCAAUUAAGUCA